UUUACACACAUGGGAGUUUUUUACUUUAAUUUAAUUCUUUCUGCUUUGAAUCGAAAGGUUCAAGGCAAAAAACAAACACAAACAAUUUUAUUUUAUUAUAAUUUUUUAAACUAAACCAAAAUUCCUAACGGAAAUUUUAAAAUAAUUUAAAACUUUCAACAACGGAUCUCUUGGUUCUCGCAUCGAUGAAGAACGUAGCGAAUUGCGAUAAGUAAUGUGAAUUGCAGAUACUCGUGAAUCAUUGAAUUUUUGAACGCACAUUGCGCCCUUGAGCAUUCUCAAGGGCAUGCCUGUUUGAGCGUCAUUUCCUUCUCAAAAGAUAAUUUUUUAUUUUUUGGUUGUGGGCGAUACUCAGGGUUAGCUUGAAAUUGGAGACUGUUUCAGUCUUUUUUAAUUCAACACUUAGCUUCUUUGGAGACGCUGUUCUCGCUGUGAUGUAUUUAUGGAUUUAUUCGUUUUACUUUACAAGGGAAAUGGUAAUGUACCUUAGGCAAAGGGUUGCUUUUAAUAUUCAUCAAGUUUGACCUCAAAUCAGGUAGGA
rnacentral:rRNA from 1 species